AAAAUUUCUAACCCAAAAAUAUGAGGUACAACGAUUAAAAAGUAUGAAUUACUGGUGAAAUGUACGUAAUAUUGAAAUAUACGUGAGAUUUUUUGGAAUAUUGUGUCAAAAAUUGUGUUUUCAAAAUUUUUUGCCCUUGUUUUGGUGAAUUAAGGUCCCAGAAAAAAAUUUCGGAAACGAAAUAUUAAUUAGUGAUUGCCCUUACGUCAACAUUGCCCCCCUAUGCCCUACCCUCGCUCCGGCCUCCCUGCUUGUAAGCUUUUUCAGUAAUUCUUGUAUGUACAUAUUCAAUGUAUCAUGAACAUGGCCGCCGAGAGGUUCAACGCUCAGCCCGGGCCAAAACUUUUCAAAGACCCGCUAUGAUGUCAUAAUUGUAAAAGGGGAGAAGCGUGUUUCACAAUAUAUCACAG